UACGAAGGAUGCAAGCGUUAUCCGGAUUCAUUGGGCUUAAAGGGCGCGUAGGUGGCCUUCUAAGUCAGUGGUGAAAUCUCUCGGCUUAACUGAGAAAUUGCCAUUGAUACUGUAGGGCUUGAGUACAGUUGCUGUGGGCGGAAUAUGACAUGUAGUGGUGAAAUACAUAGAGAUGUCAUAGAACACCGAUUGCGAAGGCAGCGCACAAAACUGUAACUGACACUGAGGCUCGAAAGUGCGGGGAGCAAACAGG
rnacentral:rRNA from 1 species